CGGGCAGUGUGGCUGCGCGGCUCCGGGCGCCCGGCCGCGGCCUUCUUUCUUAAAACUGAUGACAUAAUGCUUUUUUUUUUUUUUUUUUUUUUAAGCCAAGGGAACAAAAUGUUCCAUCAAUGAGCCAGGAAUAUUGAGGAAUCCCUGAAAGAUUGAAAAUAAGACUUAUGGGCUGGUUUAUAGCAGAAUGGGCAGGGCUGAAUAGCAAAUUAACAAAAAGGAAAAGAAAAUGGAUCUAAACAUUGCAACAUUUGAAUGACAAAAGCUGUAUAAACAAAAACCAGCAAGAAUGAUGGUGAGGGUUGGGGAGUUAAAAAGAAGAAAAUGUCCCAAAUUUGCACCAAAACACAUCUUAUUAAAAGGGCCCACUUAGAGUUCUUAAAAUAAUUAAUGAAAAAAUAUCCUGUUGUAGGUAAACUCUAGGAGAAAGAGAAUCAAGAGAUUUUUAUAUGGAAAUGUUAUCUAUAAAAUAAUGGAAAUUAGUUUGCCCUUGAAUUUCUCAGUGGCAAUAUCUUCAGGGCUAACUCUGGAAUCCUUUAGGCUAACCAACAGUAAAGUGAGAGGAAAAUAAAAACGUUCUCAGACAUGAAAGUAUUCAGAAAGUUUACCAUCUCAUUGAAUGACUUGAAAAUGACUCCUGCAAAAUGAACAACGAAUUACAAAAAAGAUUUCCCAGAUUCUCAUCCCCAACAGAUGAGGCAACAGACAUUGAGUACAUACUAUGUGCGCUCUACACAGAUUAUCUCAUUUUCUUCCCAAUAACUCUGAAAAAGGUACAAUUAUGAUGCCCAUUUUAAAGUGAAGAAACUGAUAUACAGAUGUGAACCAGAAUAUAUGAAAGAAUGAUAGGCAAUAAAACAUAAAAUAUAUUAUUGAAUCAAAAAGUUAUUGGUGCAUAAUAUAAAAAAGAGAGGGUUUUUACAAAGAUAUUCUGGAGCUAAAUCCCAGAUCGAUAACUGCAAAGCAAGUGUCAGAGGCUGUGUGAAGUUGCUUCAUUAGAAAGACUCCACUGGGGAACAGUAGCUACCCUUAGAGUCCCCACUUGACUGGAUUUGCAGUAACCAAGACCUAUCAGUCAUCUGUGGCAGCUGAUCUGUGAAGUGAAUGGGAAUGAGGUGGGAACCAUCACAGUAGCAUCUUUCUCUCCUUUGAUGGUAACACUUAUCUCUGCAAUUCUCCAGGAAUGUAGCAUUGCUUUUGAUGUACUGUUUUGGCACCCCACUUGGUACUUCCUACCGGAAUAGCCCUUACACCAUGGGCCCAGCUCUCAAAGUCCGCCUGAGGAUCACCUACUCAUCCCAGUAUGGCCCAAACUGGAUCCCCUCUGACUCCACUCAGGUAAUGUUACUCACUCCCUUCUUUGUGUUCUCACAGUACCAUAUAGAUCAGUGAUUCUCAACCAGGAGCAAUUUUGUUUGAUGCCAUGGGGAAAACACUUGGCAAUAUCUGAAGAUAAUUUUGGUCACCACAACUAGGGAUGAAGUGCUACAGGCAUCUGGUAGAGGCCAGGGAUUUUGCUAACGAUGCUGCGAUGCUAAUGAUGCUGUUACAAUGUACAAGACAGCCCUCCACAACAAAGAAUCAUCCAGUCCAAAAUGUCAGUAGUGCUGAGGUUGAAAAACCUGGAGGUACAACACUUUAUCACACUUGUCUGUUUACACAUCUGUCUCUCCCUGUUAUACUAUACGCUCCUCAAGGGCAUGCACCAUGUCUUACCUUUAAAUCCUCAGUGGUGAGCAGUGCAAUACAUGUAGUAGGUGCUCACUAAGUAUCUAUGGAGUGAAUUGAUUAGAUAGAAGUUAAGUUAAGUCUCAUCUUGUCCCUGCACCUAACAGGCCAACACCUGCAUUUCAAAGCAAAGAGGGUAGGAACAUAAGAUGCUUGGGGUCAAAACAGUUAGGGGAUGUGGAUCAACCAAAGCAGCUGCAACUUCCGAUCAGCUGCUAAGCCUAUUAAGGUUGAACUCUCCAUCUUUCUCAAGUCUUCUAUCCCUUCAUGGUCCCCACUCCAUAAUCCCAUGAGACUACCACAUUAUUUUGAUUUUCUCCCUCAGAAAUAUUUCCUGAAUCCAAGCCAUACCCACUGCCAAAGCUGCAGAUCAGGCUCUCAGUUGCAUCACUUUCCUAGACCACUAUUGUGCCCUCCUAUUUAGUCUCUCUGCCACCUACAAAUUGAGAAAGUCAAAUUUAGUAAGUCCUUAUAGUUUCCAGCUCUAAAACAACAGGAUUUGUAACAUCAUGUAGUGCCAAUCAAUUCCAGCCUUUCCAUUAAAUAAUCCAAAUGAAUCAGUAUUCAUGCAUUCACUUAUUCAUAUGGAUAUAAUACUUCAAAACACUAACUGGGAAUAAGUGUAAUACUUUAGAAAGCCUUGCACUCUUUCAUAAUCUUUCACCUUGGAAACAUAAAAGUAAACAGCUUUAAUUGAUCCUCCCUUUCUUCUAGUAACCCAGUUCCCACAGAUGUCAGUUUCUUAACAAAUCCAAACAAGGAGUAAAGUAUUGAGAGUUUCAGAAUGUGUGCAUAUCAUAUUUUCAGCAAAGGGAUGAGCAACACUUUCAAUUAAAAAGGAAUCUAAAAGAAAACAGCAGCAUCCUUGUAAAAGUAGAUGAGGACAGCCAGCUGGACUUAGCUGCUAACUCAGCACUCCCUUCCCCAACUCCUCCACCUUCCAGCCAUGCUGCAUUGACCUUUUUAUCAUGGAAUGGUAUGCAGCUUCUCUG
rnacentral:lncRNA from 1 species